rnacentral:rRNA from 1 species
GAUGAACGCUAGCGACAGGCCUAACACAUGCAAGUCGAGGGGCAGCACGAAUCAAGCUUGCUUGAUUUGGUGGCGACCGGCGCACGGGUGCGUAACGGGUGUGCAAUCUGUCCAUAAUCGGGGAAUAGCCCAGCGAAAGUUGGAUUAAUGCUCAAUGUGAGUUUUAGAGGCAUCUCUUUAACUUGAAACGCAAGGAUUAUGGGUGAGCACGCUUCUGAUUAGGUAGUUGGUGAGGUAACGGCUCACCAAGCCGACGAUCAGUAGGGGUUCUGAGAGGAAGGUCCCCCACAUUGGAACUGAGACACGGUCCAAACUCCUACGGGAGGCAGCAGUGAGGAAUAUUGGUCAAUGGGCGCAAGCCUGAACCAGCCAAGUCGCGUGAAGGAUGAAGGUUCUAUGGAUUGUAAACUUCUUUUGUCUGAGGGUAAAAAAGCGGACGUGUCCGUACUUGCAAGUAUCAGACGAAUAAGCAUCGGCUAACUCCGUGCCAGCCGCCGCCGUAAAAC